UACGAAGGGGGCUAGCGUUGUUCGGAUUUACUGGGCGUAAAGCGCGUGUAGGCGGGUCGUUAAGUUGGGGGUGAAAUCCCGAGGCUCAACCUCGGAACUGCCUUCAAAACUGGCGACGUGGAGCAAGAUAGAGGCGAGUGGAAUUGCGAGUGUAGAGGUGAAAUUCGUAGAUAUUCGCAGGAACACCAGUGGCGAAGGCGACUCGCUGGAUCUUUGCUGACGCUGAGACGUGAAAGCGUGGGGAGCAAACAGG
rnacentral:rRNA from 1 species